GGUGGGGUAAAGGCCUACCAAGACUAUGAUGUGUAGCCGGGCUGAGAGGUUGAACGGCCACAUUGGGACUGAGACACGGCCCAAACUCCUACGGGAGGCAGCAGUAGGGAAUUUUCGGCAAUGGAGGAAACUCUGACCGAGCAACGCCGCGUGAACGAUGAAGUAUUUCGGUACGUAAAGUUCUUUUAUUAGGGAAGAAUAAAUGAUGGAAAAAUCAUUCUGACGGUACCUAAUGAAUAAGCCCCGGCUAACUAUGUGCCAGCAGCCGCGGUAAUACAUAGGGGGCAAGCGUUAUCCGGAAUUAUUGGGCGUAAAGGGUGCGUAGGCGGUUAAAUAAGUUUAUGGUCUAAGUGCAAUGCUUAACAUUGUGAUGCUAUAAAAACUGUUUAGCUAGAGUAAGAUAGAGGCAAGUGGAAUUCCAUGUGUAGUGGUAAAAUGCGUAAAUAUAUGGAGGAACACCAGUAGCGAAGGCGGCUUGCUGGGUCUUUACUGACGCUGAGGCACGAAAGCGUGGGGAGCAAACAGGAUUAGAUACCCUGGUAGUCCACGCCGUAAACGAUGAGUACUAAAUGUUGGGUAAAACCAGUGUUGAAGUUAACACAUUAAGUACUCCGCCUGAGUAGUACGUACGCAAGUAUGAAACUUAAAGGAAUUGACGGGACUCCGCACAAGCGGUGGAUCAUGUUGUUUAAUUCGAAGGUACCCGAAAAACCUCACCAGGUCUUGACAUGCUUCUGCAAAGCUGUAGAAACACAGUGGAGGUUAUCAGUUGCACAGGUGGUGCAUGGUUGUCGUCAGCUCGUGUCGUGAGAUGUUGGGUUAAGUCCCGCAACGAGCGCAACCCUUAUUGUUAGUUGCCAGCACGUAAUGGUGGGGACUUUAGCAAGACUGCCAGUGAUAAAUUGGAGGAAGGUGGGGACGACGUCAAAUCAUCAUGCCCCUUAUGACCUGGGGUACAAACGUGAUACAAU
rnacentral:rRNA from 1 species